UCAAUAGCAACGACCAAGAGGUGUUUUUUCGACUUAUAGAGAUAAAAUCGAUGCGCUGAAAGAUUUUAAAACAGAAAAAACAAGUAGCUUGUGAGCUGUUUAAUUGAAAUGAGUAAAUUAAACCGGUAAACCCCGUUAUCUUUAUUGAUAUUAAAGUGGAUUCUGUUUGUUAUUUAUAAGCAGGGUCAAUUUAGGUGGUACCGCGAUCAAUUCGUCCUAGAC
rnacentral:ncRNA from 1 species